AGCAGUCUGAGGCAGGAUAAAGAGCUCCAGCAACGAUUUCUUCGGUUUUUGGCAAUCAAGUGUGGGAGGGACCUCAAGACAACUGUGUGGCGAAUGCUUGAGAGUAUCUUCUCUAAUCGCCUUUCCAUUAACACAACCUGGACUGGUGCAGGGGAAAAAGCAUGUUUUAGAGACAUGUUCCUGAAGACCAUUGUUCAAAGAGCCAUCCGGAAGAACUCGGCAACCCAGGAUGCCACUGAUGAGGCGAUCCAGGUUAACGUUACGCGUUACCUGAAAGGAGCAGCUGACCGUGAAGGUGGAAAAAGGCGCCGCACAGCUGAGAGGGACCCACAGCCGACCCCUCAAACCUAGGCUGACUACCGACACCCCUGCUAAAAGUGUCAGACUAAACUCACUCAAUCCACACUCUUCACUAGAAAUUGCUGGUUUUUUUUUUAUUUUUUUUUUUUAUUUUUCCCCAUCUCGUGACCCUGCCUUCAGGGCAGCUCCUUGGAUGAAUAUGGGAUGUUUUUUUUUUUUUUUCCUCUCAUGACCCUGCCUUCAGGGCAGCUCCUUGGAUGAAUAUGGGAUGGUUUGUCUUUUUAUACAGGCGCACGAGGAAUCACUGAAGAUGUGCCAAUUUGCACUGCCUCAUUCUGGAGGUCGAGGAAAACCAGACCCCAACCACUCCAGACAUUGUGAUUGACUGUGUUCUCAACAGCCAGAUUUUCUGCUGUUAAUUGCAUUUGUUCCCACUUAUUGUCAUGUUUAAGUUGAAUGUAAAACUUUACAUUAUCCUGCACAUUCUUUGAUAACAAAGAUCUCAAUUAUUUAAUAUACAAUUUGCUGCUUAUUUCAUUGUUACAGUGCUUAACUAUUCUAUUUUUAAAUAUAGCUUAUAAAUCCUAGAUUAUACAUCUAAUACUUGAUAUUUGCACAUUAUCUGGUAGCAAAUAUUCUACUUACCGUGACUUUAGUAUUGGCUUAUUUCAUUCCGUCAGUGCUUAACGAUUCUAUUAUAGUUUGUAAAUCCUAUUUCAUACCUCUGAUAUUUGAUAUUGCACUUUUAACUAGUACCAGUUAAUUCUACUUUCAUUCCAUCAGUGUGCUUAACUGUUAUUCUAUUAAAAAUAGCUUGGUUGUACUAUUUCAUACCUUUUGAUAUUGCACUUUCACUAGUACCAAAAAAUCUACUUUCAUUCCAUCAGUGUGCUUAACUGUUAUUCUAUUAAAAAUAGCUUGGUUAUACUAUUUCAUACCUUUUGAUAUUGCACUUUCACUAGUACCAAAAAUUCUACUUUCAUUCCAUCAGUGUGCUUAACUGUUAUUCUAUUGUUAAAUAUAGCUUGUAAAUCCUUGUGCCACAGGUCAGCAUUGCAGUUAUAAUGGCAUAUUCUACUCCAGAGCUUUACUCUAAAUUAUUACCACUUAUCCUAUUGUUAGAAAUGACUUGUAAAUAUGAUGUUAUACCUCAAUUUAUUUGAUAUCCUGCACUUUAUUUGGUACCAAAUAUCCUCAUUGCUUAUGUUUACUGGUAAUUCUUUUCAUCCCAGAGCUGACCUCUUUAUAUUAUUUACAAUUGUUGUAAGUGUUA